rnacentral:lncRNA from 1 species
CGGCCGCCAUCAGGACCUGUAAAGAAAGUCUAAACUAUAGUUGGGGGUGCUCCAGUAAGACCCUCCGAUGCUCAAGUCAGUACUCUACCUCAACAAAAAUGGUGCACUUGAAUGGGAUUUUAGUAGAGUUUUGAGAUAGAGUUUAGAGCUUAGAGGAGAACAUAUCUGGGGGGGUCUCUUUUAUAGAUGGAGGAGCGUAACCGCUUGACAGCGACGUCCGUAACUACCUGGUAGUGGGCCGUUCAGGGCCACAUGGAGUCUGUUAUGGAGAGUGGAGUAGUGUCCAUUGUUGCGACUUGCCAG